UUAAAAAAAGAUAGAUAUUUCACCGAAUGAUUUUUUUUAUUUAAUAAAAUUAAUUAUUUUAAACUAUCAUAAUUUAAUUUUGUAAAGUUUGAAUUUAUUGGGUAUUUAUGUAAUAAAAGUGAUUUAAAAUGGGCCUUAGAAUUGAGAGGAGCCCAUAUUGACACAGUUCUUCUUCUUCGUCUUCUUCCUUCUUAUCCAAACGCCAUACUUACUUACCUUACUUCAAUUCAAACCAGAGACAGAGAGAUAACCAACAACAACAACAACCACUCUCUUCUCAUUACCAACCUCAACAAUGGCUGCUUCCACUCGAAUUCCCUUUCCAAAAGCGGACUCAUCAUCAUCAUCCAUUAGAGUUUCUCUAAAGACCAAUGGUUGCGGUGUUUCCGACCUUGGGUUCGUCACUUCGGAGCUCAGUGGAGUCAAAAUCUCUAAAGUUGACUCCUUUCAACCUGUCCGACCCAUCUUCACCAAAUUCUCUCCUGCUCUUCAACCUGUUGCUCGAAAAUCAGCAAGCACUGAAAUUUGAGAUGGAAUUUGCUCAAAACUCUGAGAGAGUCAAAUCAGUAGAUGUGCAUCCAACUCAUCCAUGGAUUCUAACAAGUUUAUAUAGUGGAAAUGUUACUCUAUGGAACCACCAAUCCCAAGCAAGGGCCCAAAAAUGGACAAUUCUCUAAUUUCCAAACUUAUUGAGAUCAGCAAAGUUCAUAGCUAGCAAAAAUUGGAUUGUAACUGGCUCUGAUGACGGAUUCAUUCGCGUUUACAAUUAUAAAACAAUGGAGAAAAUCAUAGAGGUUGAAGCACACAAAGACUUCAUUAGAUGUGUUGUUGUCCAUUUUGGCUUGAAAAUACUUUUAAUUAUGAUCUUGGAAGAGUUUGGGCCGUUGAAUCCAUCAAAGGAAUAAAUCACUAAGCUUAUUUGCUUAUUUUUAAAAAUUUCCAAAUUAUUUAUUCAUCUUCUUACUUUUAUUGUGUGAUCAUAUAUGUACUAACAUUACUUUUUCUUUUAGGGUUGUCUUUGGUUUUGACAAAGGAUUUUGCAUUGUCAAGAUAAUGAAAGGUGAAGAUUCUGUAUUAAGUGGUCAAACCUAAAAGAGUGUCAUGAUAAAAAAUAAAUGAAAAUAAGCUAAUUUCAAAGUUGACUUGAACUUAGUAUAUAUGUUGUUUUUUGAUAAGUUAUGUAAAACAAAUAAUAUUCUCAAUUUUUUUUUAAUGUGUGUUCAUUGUAAUAAUCUUCCAUGAAAAGCUACAAUUUUUAUUUGUUCAAACUAAUAUGGCUUUUUCAUAUAUUUAAAUUAAAAACAAUUACCAAGUUUUA